GCCAGUAUACAUUGACAGGUUAUGACGCUUCUGCCCAUAUGACGGAAGAAACCAAAGAUGCAGAUAAGAAUGGACCAAAAGGAAUUGUAAGUGCUAUUGGCAUAUCAAUUCUUGCUGGCUGGGCUUACAUACUUGGUAUAACCUUUGCAGUUACAGAUAUCCCACAUCUGUUAGAUAAAAACAAUGAUUCUGGUGGCUAUGCUAUUGCUCAAAUCUUUUAUGACGUAUUCAAGAGUAGAUAUGGCAGUGGUGUUGGUGGAAUUGUUUGCUUAAGUGUUAUUGCUGUUGCCGUAUUCUUUUGUGGUAUGAGCU
rnacentral:misc_RNA from 1 species